ensembl:lncRNA novel transcript, antisense to STAB2
GUGCUGUCUAAGCUAAUGUGGAGUUGUGUUUUCGGGUCCUCAGUCUGCUACGCCAUCCUCGUGGGUGUGAAGUGACAUCUCAUUAUGAUUAUCAUGUCUUCUUAAAGAAGCAAACACAACCAAAUUCAGAAGAAUUUAUAAGGCUGGUGUCUGAUUGAUUGAAAAGGCCCCAGGAAGUGGAUUUUGCCUUCAGAGUUCAACUCCUCCUCUGGUGCAGUCCCAAAACACUAGGAUUCUGCUGUCUACCCAAGAGAACCCAGGAACUCUGAGCAACCACACUGGCUUCAGUCAGCUUGCAAAACUGGCUUUUAGGCUUGUUACCUGACAUACAUUCUAGAAAUGAACCUUCUUUGGUACAAAGAUCUCCACUGAAAUUUCCUAAAAGACAUCAUUCCCCUGUACCCCAAGGGAACCUAUUCCUAGAUAAGAAUGCAAACUCACCGUGAAGGGGUCGUAGGAAGGUUCUGGGGGAGCUGAGGUUGUGCUCUCAUACAAGGGGUUCGAGAUAUUCUCAGGCUGCUGCUUGCCAAGAGCUGCAACAUUAAUGUCCUCUUCCGACUGUUUGGAAAGACAAGCAUGAAAGCCAGGAGCAUCCCCAAAGCAGGAGCGUCUCAGCCAAGUUGGCAGGUAAAGCAAGCCACCCUUUGCCUCUGGGAGCUUUUCCUUUUUUAACAGUACUUUGUUGAGAGAUGAUUCACAUAUAAUAAAAUUUACCAACCUUUAGAUUCAGCUCAGUGA